GCUCUUGAGCCUUUUUUUCAUUAUAUUUGGUUGGUUAAAUUUUCCUUUUUUGUUCACUUCAACUCAUGUUUAAUUGUUUGCUGAUUGUCUUGAACCUUAUGAAUAACUGAAAUGGUUAUCUGGAUAAUUCGGUCAAACAAUACAGUUUCAUGUAUUACAAGUUCAAGGAGGACUCGGUUUAAAUUAUAAUUCAAUUUUAAACAGCAAACAAUUGUUUUCCUCUCACCACUCUUAUACAGUACACAUGGUAAACUUACAUUGAAAUGGUACGUGGUUGUUUCUUUUUGUGUUUGAUGUCUCCUUUUCUUGUGUGUCGAUCUAAAUUUAUCACGUUUUCACCAUGCUGAUGAUGGAACCAAUGGAAGAAAUAAUACGUUAUUGCUGGUUGCUGCGGCUACUGCUGCUGUUUUAGGAUGAUGACUGUGAAGAUAGGAGGUGUUGGUGAGAUUUUUCGGUUUACACAUUAUCAAUUUGGGUUCUCCUUCUGGUUGGCUGUAUAAUGUUAAAGGAUGGUCGAGGAAACUUAUGGGUGUUUUGUUUUCAUUUGGUUGUGUGUUUGUAUUUUUGGUUAAUCGCUGGGUUGGCAAGGUUCCCUGGUCUUUAAUUCAGGUAACCAUGAUCAAGCUUACCGGUAUUUCUUGUCAUUCAACUAUCAAGUUGAGCGGUAAUUUGAGUUUUCACUUUUAAUUUGCAAGAUUCACAAAUGGCACUGAUUUGAUACCAAUUCAAGAUGUCGAGCUCAAUAGAAACGAAUUGCCAUUUUCUUGUGAAUAACAUUCUGUAUUGGACAUCGUUCUGGUAAACUUUCAAGUCAUUUUACAACGGCAAAGACAAAGACAAAGAUUCCCAAGAAAUUGAACAAGUCAAGGCUCAAUAGACUAUUAUUGUCAAUAAGAUGAUGUGAUUAGAAUUAAUCAAUGGAUGAAGACUACGCGUAUCAAUAAGAAGUAAAAUUGAUGACAAGAUUAAACUUAAUCCAUUGUAACCUUGUUAAAUUUAUCUAACUGUGGUAACCCGAUGGUGCAUGAUCAAAGUUGACCAAAUUUUGCUGCUAAAAAUUCAAUCAAUGAAUUUUCCUUCAUCAACGGUUACACCAGCUUGAAAAGUUUUACCCUCAUUUGUGAUAAUCAGAAAAGAUGGAGGAGAAACAACAAGAGAGAAGCAAAAAGAAAGGAUAAAAAUCAAAACGACAAAGGAGUAAAGAAAGGAAAAGUUGCAGAAUGAAAAUAACAAGGAAGCAAACAAGAACAGAACUCCAAGAAAAACUGAAACUCUACGUGAAGUGUUUAACUUAUCUGGAAAAAAGGAUCUGAUUUUAGUUCAUUUAGGCUGGCAAUUGUUGAAAUUUAAAAUUAAACCUACAAGAAUGUUUAAUGAUUGUUGAGCGACAUUUAAUC